GAUGAAGAACGCAGUGAAAUGCGAUAAGUAAUGUGAAUUGCAGAAUUCAGUGAAUCAUCGAAUCUUUGAACGCACAUUGCGCCCCUUGGUAUUCCGAGGGGCAUGCCUGUUCGAGCGUCAUUACACCACUCAAGCUAUGCUUGGUAUUGGGCGUCGUCCUUAGUUGGGCGCGCCUUAAAGACCUCGGCGAGGCCACUCCGGCUUUAGGCGUAGUAGAAUUUAUUCGAACGUCUGUCAAAGGAGAGGAACUCUGCCGACUGAAACCUUUAUUUUUCUAGGUUGACCUCGGAUCAGGUAGGGAUACCCGCUGAACUUAAGCAUAUCAAUAAGCGGAGGA
rnacentral:misc_RNA from 1 species